GUCAAAUUGAUUAAAUUUAAUCGAUUGUUCUGGAAGAAUAUGAAGUUUUAUGUUUGGGAGUUACUAGGAAAUGAAAGAGGAUAGUUUUAGGGAAAAAUAAAGAGAAAAUGAAGCAAAGGUAAUCUUCCAAUUUAAAUAGGUAGGAAAAUGUGUAUCUCAAGGGAUAUGCAUCUCAUCACUUUGGAGAGUGGCAUCUACAUCUUCUAUGGAGUCACUUGAAGAUGCUCAAAGUAAAUUUUCAGUUUGCUUGAGGAAGAACCUAAUCAUGUUAUAACUUAUUAAGAUCAAAAUUUCAGAGAUUGUAUCAAACUGUCAUUGCUUGGUGGAUGAUUUUGGUUCGAAAUAAAUCACAACCUUAUCUUUUUUGAAAUGGGUGAGUUGUUCAACGGAUUUGAGUUAAAAUUUAAAAAACUAGAGAUUCUGAGUUCAAUUUAGGAUGAUGAAAAAAAAAUACAAACACAAUAAUUAGUUACUAA